GAUGAACGCUGGCGGCGUGCCUAAUACAUGCAAGUCGAGCGAACGGACGAGAAGCUUGCUUUUCUGAUGUUAGCGGCGGACGGGUGAGUAACACGUGGAUAACCUACCUAUAAGACUGGGAUAACUUCGGGAAACCGGAGCUAAUACCGGAUAAUAUUUUGAACCGCAUGGUUCAAAAGUGAAGGACGGUCUUGCUGUCACUUAUAGAUGGAUCCGCGCUGCAUUAGCUAGUUGGUAAGGUAACGGCUUACCAAGGCAACGAUGCAUAGCCGACCUGAGAGGGUGAUCGGCCACACUGGAGCUGAGACACGGUCCAGACUCCUACGGGAGGCAGCAGUAGGGAAUCUUCCGCAAUGGGCGAAAGCCUGACGGAGCAACGCCGCGUGAGUGAUGAAGGUCUUCGGAUCGUAAAACUCUGUUAUUAGGGAAGAACAUAUGUGUAAGUAACUGUGCACAUCUUGACGGUACCUAAUCAGAAAGCCACGGCUAACUACGUG
rnacentral:rRNA from 1 species